rnacentral:rRNA from 1 species
GACGAACGCUGGCGGCGUGCUUAACACAUGCAAGUCGAACGAAGCGGCGAACGGGUGAGUAAUUCGUGGGUAACCUGCCUUCCUUUUUGGGAUAAACCUCGGAAACGGGGUCUAAUACCUACUCUAGGGGGGUGGGCUCGCGGUCUAUGAGCUUGUUGGGUGGGGGAUGGCCUACCAAGGCGGUGACGGGUUGCCGGCCUGGGAGGGUGACCGGCGAGGAUGGGACGGAGAGACGGACCAGACUCGUACGGGAGGAGGGAGGGGGGGAUAUUGAGGAAUGGGCGAAAGACUGAGGCAGGGAGGGCGAGGGGGGAAUGAAGGCUUUCGGGUUGUAAACCUCUUGCGAAAUAGAACGGGUAGGUGGAGAAGAAGCGCCGGCUAACUACGUGCCAGCAGCCGCGGUAAUUC